AGCGAACAUUGGCGGUAGGCUUAACACAUGCAAGUCGAGCGAGGCGUAAUAGUCGAGCGGCGAACGGGUGCGUAAUACAUGGGAAUCUACCCUGAAGUGGGGGAUAACGUUCAGAAAUGGACGCUAAUACCGCAUAAUCCACAUUGGGAAAGCGUUGCAGCGCUUUAGGAUGAGCCCAUGGCUGAUUAGCUAGUUGGUGAGGUAAUGGCUCACCAAGGCGACGAUCAGUAGCUGGUCUGAGAGGAUGACCAGCCACACUGGAACUGAGACACGGUCCAGACUCCUACGGGAGGCAGCAGUGGGGAAUCUUGCGCAGUGGGGGCAACCCUGACGCAGCCAUACCGCGUGAGUGAUGAAGGUCUUCGGAUUGUAAAGCUCUUUCGGCGGGGACGACGAUGACGGUACCCGCAAAAGAAGUCACGGCUAACUUCGUGCCAGCCGCCGCGGUAA
rnacentral:rRNA from 1 species